GAGCGGUUUAGGCGGACACAAACAUCUCGGUUUUUGUUAAACUUAGGCAUUAGGUGCAAUUUAACAGUUUAAAAUACCGUGUUUAAAUGGCGCCUGUGUUGCUUUCUACUGCAGACUGACACGAAGGAACGUUUUGUGAGUCCGAGGCGCCUGCAGAUCAUUUUCUCCCUGCGACAUGGAUCCCGCCGCGUGGCAUUUCACAGAGGGAUCCUUGUUUACCAACAACCUGCAGAGUGCUGACUCAGUGCCCAGCAGCUGAUCUGCAACACUUUAUCCUCUCAUCAGCAUCGGCCCGCUCCUCGCCGACCCAGUCCAUCUGCAGAGGCUGCAGCUUGCUUACCUUCUCCCGCCUGAAAUAACCACAGAGUUUUGGAAUUGGAGCUGACUAUUCUAAACCGGCAGUGGGCGAGCGGAGGACCAAAGCAAAGCUGUCCCAGCCUUCACCCUUUUGGAAGUCUCUGCAGCGGGAUCUAUCUGCUGCUGCGGCUGCAUUCGGCGUGUGACCUGAUAAAGCGCUCGCCAUGUCGUGUCUGUUUUGACUGGGAUCUGUUUUAGGUCUCUGGAAACUUGGCUCAACUUUUACCUGCCAUCACAAACCUCUAAAAUUACACAGUAUCUUUCUCACUGACCUGACACUUUUGAUUUAUCCGUCUCUGCAUGUAAAACGUCAGUUGGAGGAGCCGUUUCCAAAUAAAGCCGACUGUCUAUGUUUGUGUGAUUUGGCCCCGCCUUUCUCCAGCUUGACACUCCAGUUUGAACAAUCUCUCAAACCGCUCUUUAAGGCUGGAGUUGGAGGUUCUGCAUGAGCGACUUGAAUUUUUACUGGUGCUGCAGCUGGAGUAGAAAAACUCUGGUAUAAAAUAGAAGUACGGCAUUUGGCAUGAGCUUCUUUUAUGUGUAAUUUAAUAGGAAAAAAAACACAAUUGUA